GUAGGUGAACCUGCGGAAGGAUCAUUAACAACGUAUCCACGUUUACCCACCCUAGUGCAUUCGUUUUCCAUAUCUCCCUAGGCAGGCGCACAUGAAGAGCCAUAUUAGAGCGACGCAGCAGGCAGAGUGGGACUGUGGAUUCAUUCACAGUCACACUGUUGCGACGCGACUCGGGUCAGCUUCGGCUGUCCUACACUCUUGUAGUGCCCCCUAGGUUUCUAGUCUGCUCGUCGAGCGGCCUCUCUGGCCCGACGUGUAGGCGUCUAAUCUAUACACCUAUUCCACCCCAUUUUGCUAGUUGACUUUUUCUAUGUUAUAUGACGAUCGGCUUGUCCGCUCUCGUAUACACGUUUCUUAAUUGAACAGUUAAAAACAACUCUUAGCAAUGGAUAUCUUGGUUCUC
rnacentral:misc_RNA from 1 species